UGGGUAGUGUGGCGGCAG
rnacentral:misc_RNA from 1 species